rnacentral:rRNA from 1 species
AUUGAACGCUGGCGGCAGGCCUAACACAUGCAAGUCGCGCGAGCGGCGGACGGGUGAGUAAUGUCUGGGAAACUGCCUGAUGGAGGGGGAUAACUACUGGAAACGGUAGCUAAUCCCGCAUACCAUCAGAUGUGCCCAUAUGGGAUUAGCUUGUAGGUAAGGUAACGGCUUACCUAGGCGACGAUCCCUAGCUGGUCUGAGAGGAUGAUCAGCCACACGGGUACUGUGACACGGCCCAGACUCCUACGGGAGGCAGCAGUGGGGAAGAGUGCACAAUGGGCGCAAGCCUGAUGCAGCCAUGCCGCGUGUAUGAAGAAGGCCUUCGGGUUGUAAAGUACUUUCAGUCGGGAGGCGUUACCGACAGAAGAAGCACCGGCUAACUCCGUGCCAGCAGCCGCGGUAAUAC